rnacentral:snRNA from 1 species
AUCGCUCCUCGGCCUUUUGGCUAAGAUCAAGUGUAGUAUCUGUUCUUAUCAGUUUAAAUACCUGGGUUUAAUUUCUAGCAUACAGCCUCGGUAAUUCCA